CAGUCGCCGCGGUAAUACGUAGGUCCCGAGCGUUGUCCGGAUUUAUUGGGCGUAAAGCGAGCGCAGGCGGUUAGAUAAGUCUGAAGUUAAAGGCUGUGGCUUAACCAUAGUACGCUUUGGAAACUGUUUAACUUGAGUGCAAGAGGGGAGAGUGGAAUUCCAUGUGUAGCGGUGAAAUGCGUAGAUAUGUGGAGGAACACCGGUGGCGAAAGCGGCUCUCUGGCUUGUAACUGACGCUGAGGCUCGAAAGCGUGGGGCGCAAACAGGAUUAGAGACCCGUGUAGUCCCUGUCUCUUAUACA
rnacentral:rRNA from 1 species